UUGUUUUUCAAUCCCCAUUUCUGAAGCAAUUUGGAAGAAACUAGCUAAUUUCCAAUUUCCCAGCUGAUUUCAUUGAAAGCAGCUUCUCUUAUUUUUUAAAAUUUUAUUUCUUUAAUGGGUUCAUGUCGGUUUACCUGUCUUAUUGAAAGAUUGUACUGUAAUUAUCAAUUACUAUGUCAUAAAUCUAAAGUUUUCACAUACGCGCACAGCCCAGAAAUAAUUUGCUUUGUCUCCACAUAAACAACUAAUCUUGCACGUAGCAAAUUUGAACCAUGAUUUUCAAGAGCCCUUUCCUGUUCAAUUAUCAGCAAUACCAAGUUUUGUUAGAUUUUAGUGUUCAGAUGGCUUCGGAAAAAGCCAGAAAAAGGUGGGUCAGUACUGAACCAAAAGAAAAAGCAAGUUGUAUUGGCAUUUUCUGGCAUUAAUCUACGGUUCAAGUUGUGGGGCUUUGUUGUCUUCUCGGAUAACACAUUGAAUUCAUACUUAUUAUCACAUGUUUGGAUCGGAGGAGUGUGGUUUUUAGCCAAGAUUGAUGCAAUUCAGGGUGAAUGUGGUUUUAAGCAUCUGAGAAAUACAGGCCGUUAGCUAGCUCUUAUAGUUUCUCUCUCCCUUUUUGGGUCAAAUUUUCUUGUUUCUGCCUUUUCGUCGAUAGACUUCAUAUGUAUCUUCCCUUCCAUUUCAACAAUA
rnacentral:lncRNA from 1 species